CCUACGGGAGGCAGCAGUGAGGAAUAUUGGUCAAUGGGCGCGAGCCUGAACCAGCCAAGUAGCGUGAAGGAUGACUGCCCUACGGGUUGUAAACUUCUUUUAUAAAGGAAUAAAGUGAGGCACGUGUGCCUUUUUGUAUGUACUUUAGAAAAAGGAAUCGCUAACCCCGUGCCAGCAGCCGCGGUAAUACGGAGGAUCCGGAGGUUUUCCGGAUUUAUUGGGUUUAAAGGGAGCGUAGAUGGGUUGUUAAGUCAGUUGUGAAAGUUUGCGGCUCAACCGUAAAAUUGCAAUUGAUACUGGCAGCCUUGAGUACAGUUGAGGUAGGCGGAAUUCGUGGUGUAGCGGUGAAAUGCUUAGAUAUCACGAAGAACUCCGAUUGCGAAGGCAGCCUACUAAACUGCCACUGACAUUGAUGCUCGAAAGUGUGGGUAUCAAACAGGAUUAGAUACCCCGGUAGUC
rnacentral:rRNA from 1 species